UGAACAGGAAAUGAUUUUAAGGUCCGGUUUCCCUCCAACUUCAUCUAGCGUUAUUAAACUGAGCAGAGCAAAGUCAAUUUUCACGAUAGAACCAAGUGAGUGAGCAGUCAUAACGCCUGUACCUGUUUUUGGUGCCUUUCCAUGUGUUGCUAAUCCCACCUGCUACUUGAAUAUAAUGAGCAGACAGGAAAACCAGCCGCCCAGGCCAACUUCAGGCAGCAUCUCUGUGCCGCUCUUUAACCAGAGGAAGAGAAACAGAGUUCCCCUGACAUGUGUUCCCUCUGACAAUGAAUUCUUUUCCUCCAUUGAGUGCAUGGCCAGCAACAGCUCAAAUGUGUCCUACAGCAAAUCAGGUGAAGAUUUCAAUCUUAUUUCUGUCAUUAGGUGGCAGUACAUCCACAGAGAAAUACAAAUACAAAAUCUGAGCAAAACCACAAUCUUCAGUUGUAUCACACUUGUAAGGAUCUGAAAAGAUAACUUUGAUACAAUUAUAGACAGAGGCAGCUUUUUGUAAGGAUAUCUACCUGCUACAACAUUCCCUUC
rnacentral:lncRNA from 1 species